AACGAACGCUGGCGGCAUGCCUAACACAUGCAAGUCGAACGAGACCUUCGGGUCUAGUGGCGCACGGGUGCGUAACGCGUGGGAACCUGCCCUUAGGUUCGGAAUACCUCCCCGAAAGGGGUGCUAAUACCGGAUAAUGUCUUCGGACCAAAGAUUUACCGCCUUGGGAUGGGCCCUGGUUGGAUUGGCUAGUUGGUAGGGUAAAAGCCUACCAAGGCGAGGAUCCAUAGCUGGUCGGUGAGGAAGACAGGCUGCAAUGGAACUGAGACACGGCCCAGACCGCUAGGGAAGGGUGCGGGAGAGAGUAUUGGACAAGGGAGGAAAGCGUGACCCAGCAGUGCCGCGGGAGUGAGGAAGCCCUUAGGGUUGUAAUGCCCUCUUAGCCGGGAUGAUAAUGACGGUACCGGGAGAAGAAGCACCGGCUAACUCCGUG
rnacentral:rRNA from 1 species